AGCAGGAUCAGAUGAACAGACAG
rnacentral:miRNA from 1 species